AGGGCCAUGUGCCAAAGAAUGUGGAUGGCUUCCAUAAGCUGAAAAGAAGGAAAUGGAUUCUUCCUUAGAGCUUCCAGAAAAGAAAACAAUCUUGCCAAUACCCUGAUUUUAGCCCACUGAGGCCCAUUUUGGACUUCAAAACUAUAAGAUAAAGCUACCAUUGACUCAACUGACAGGAAACCAGAGGUUAUGGCAGCCCUGUUGAUGUUGUCCAUAUAAAUCAGUCUGCAGCAGAAGAAAGCAAGGUGGAGGAGGGCUUGGAGUAGAACAGUAUGGGGCAAAUGGAAGAUACCCAGCACUGAUCAUCCGCCAAUGUUCAGACAAGAUUUUAGAGUUUGACUCACCCCAAGCUUCAUUAACAGCCUCUAUUGCAAGACAUAGCAUCGUCCCAUUUUCUUUAAGCUCAACAAGCUCACAUAAACCAUGGUUUCUCCUAAGAGAACGCUUCUUCAACCUUUUUGACAGAACUCUUAGUCGUAGAGGGGAAUCAACUAUUUAACCAUUAGGAAAUCUGGGAGCAUAGCUUAAAAUUUACUGUGCAUAUGAAAUUUCUCCCAAGUUUCUUUUGGUUUGUUUCAGCUAAAUAAUUGAUAUGAGUUUUGAAUUGUACUGCAUAAAACAUUUGUUUGUUCUUACAUUGAAAUUAGUUACAAGAAGGAGAAAUCAAACAAAAAAAAAGAUCUUAGCUUUUUUAGAUAGUCUUUUCAGAUCUAUCAAUUUCCAGUAAUUAAGUAAAAAUAAGAUCAUGGGUUUUUUUUUCUUGAAUCCAUAUGAUAUUAAAAGCCAUAAAUCUUAAAUCUUCACAUUUCUAUCUCCUUCAGAUUGUUAAAUAAGACAUGAUAGGUACUGCAUUUCCCUUUUAGAGACUUAAAAUCCACUGUCAGAUAGUAGAAGCUGAGGAAUUCUGCAUUAAAAACAAGGCUGUUGAUUUUUUUAAAUAGCCAAA